UCUGAGUUUCGUUGGGCACAACCGAAGUUGUGACCAACAAAAGUUUGUGCCUUGCGAUUUUUCUUGAUUAUUGAGUUAUUUUGAGCCAAAAACAUUAUAGAAAGUGUGUCGAUAUAUGUGAUUUAUAUAAUAUUUAUCGAGAAACAUGGUGAUAUGUUAUAUCUUGGGCUGUAAAAGCCGUAGUGAGCGAAAAUGUGAAAACAUAACCUUUCAUACAUUUCCAAAAGAUUCUACGAUCCGGCAAAUAUGGAUACGUGCAACAAGACGAGAUAACUGGAUUCUAAGUAAAUAUGCAAGAAUAUGCUCCAAACACUUUGAACGAAAUUGUUUUAGGAAAACUUCUCGCAACGUUUAUUUGAAAGCGUACUCGGUUCCAA